AUUGUACGCUGGCGGCAGGCCUAACACAUGCAAGUCGAACGGUAACAGGAAGCAGCUUGCUGCUUCGCUGACGAGUGGCGGACGGGUGAGUAAUGUCUGGGAAGCUGCCUGAUGGAGGGGGAUAACUACUGGAAACGGUAGCUAAUACCGCAUAAUGUCGCAAGACCAAAGAGGGGGACCUUCGGGCCUCUUGCCAUCGGAUGUGCCCAGAUGGGAUUAGCUUGUUGGUGGGGUAACGGCUCACCAAGGCGACGAUCCCUAGCUGGUCUGAGAGGAUGACCAGCCACACUGGGACUGAGACACGGUCCAGACUCCUACGGGAGGCAGCAGUGGGGAAUAUUGCACAAUGGGCGCAAGCCUGAUGCAGCCAUGCCGCGUGUAUGAAGAAGGCCUUCGGGUUGUAAAGUACUUUCAGCGGGGAGGAAGGGAGUAAAGUUAAUACCUUUGCUCAUUGACGUUACCCGCAGAAGAAGCACCGGCUAACUCCGUG
rnacentral:rRNA from 1 species